rnacentral:rRNA from 1 species
AAUGAACGCUGGCGGCAGGCCUAAUACAUGCAAGUCGAACGACAGCGCGGUAAGCUUUCGCCUCUACGGUUGGCGAGUGGCGGACGGGUGACGCGUACAUCACCUUCCUCUUUUUCUGGGGUGACUUCGUGGGGCCACAUCUGCUACUAGCUCACAUGAUCUACGGCUUAAUUCAGCAGAUCAUAGCACUCUUCCCGUCUCAUUUAGCUGAUGUCGGAGUAGCUAGUUGGCUAGGUAAAGUCCCACCAAGGCGACGAUCCGUAGCUGGUCUGAGAGGAUGAUCAGCCACACUGGAACUGAGACACGGUCCAGACUCCUACGGGAGGCAGCAGUGGGGAAUAUUGGGCAAUGGGCGCAAGCCUGAUCCAGCCAUACCGCGUGAGUGAAGAAGGCCUUCGGGUUGUAAAGCCCUUUUAUUGGGAAAGAAAAGCAGCAGGUGAAUACCCCGCUGUUCUGACGGUACCCAAAGAAUAAGCACCGGCUAACUUCGUG